UACAGAGGUCCCGAGCGUUGUUCGGAUUCAUUGGGCGUAAAGGGCGCGUAGGCGGUCAGCACAAGUCAGUUGUGAAAUCUCCGGGCUUAACUCGGAAAGGUCAACUGAUACUGUGCGACUAGAGUGCGGUAGGGGAGACUGGAAUUCCUGGUGUAGCGGUGAAAUGCGCAGAUAUCAGGAAGAACACCUAUGGCGAAGGCAGCACUCUGGGACGGUACUGACGCUGAGACGCGAAAGCGUGGGGAGCGAACAGG
rnacentral:rRNA from 1 species